CGCGUAGGCGGUCCGUGAAGUUGGGCGUGAAAGGCCUGGGCUUAACCCGGGGACGGCGCUCGAUACUGGCGGGCUCGGAGUCCGGGAGAGGAUGGCGGAAUUCCCAGUGUAGAGGUGAAAUUCGUAGAUAUUGGGAAGAACACCGGUGGCGAAGGCGGCCAUCUGGACCGGUACUGACGCUGAGGCGCGAAAGCGUGGGGAGCAAACA
rnacentral:rRNA from 1 species